UACGUAGGUGACAAGCGUUGUCCGGAUUUACUGGGCGUAAAGAGCGCGCAGGCGGUCGAUCAAGUCGAGUGUGAAAGCCCCCGGCUCAACUGGGGAGGGUCAUUCGAAACUGGUCGACUCGAAGGCAGGAGAGGGUAGUGGAAUUCCCGGUGUAGUGGUGAAAUGCGUAGAUAUCGGGAGGAACACCAGUGGCGAAGGCGGCGACCUGGGCAGAUACUGACACUGAGGUGCGAAAGCGUGGGGAGCAAACAGG
rnacentral:rRNA from 1 species